UACGGGGGGAGCAAGCGUUGCUCGGAAUCACUGGGCGUAAAGCGCACGUAGGCGGCUUUCUAAGUCAGGGGUGAAAUCCUGGAGCUCAACUCCAGAACUGCCUUUGAUACUGGAAAGCUUGAGUUCGGGAGAGGUGAGUGGAACUGCGAGUGUAGAGGUGAAAUUCGUAGAUAUUCGCAAGAACACCAGUGGCGAAGGCGGCUCACUGGCCCGAUACUGACGCUGAGGUGCGAAAGCGUGGGGAGCGAACAGG
rnacentral:rRNA from 1 species